rnacentral:rRNA from 1 species
UACGGAGGGUGCAAGCGUUAAUCGGAAUUACUGGGCGUAAAGCGUGCGUAGGCGGUUCGUUAAGUCUGUCGUGAAAGCCCCGGGCUCAACCUGGGAAUGGCAAUGGAUACUGGCGAGCUAGAGUGUGUCAGAGGAUGGUGGAAUUCCCGGUGUAGCGGUGAAAUGCGUAGAGAUCGGGAGGAACAUCAGUGGCGAAGGCGGCCAUCUGGGACAACACUGACGCUGAGGCACGAAAGCGUGGGGAGCAAACAGG